CAUCCCUUUCUCAGCCCUGAACCCGGCUUCCUCACUAGCGGAACCUGUGGGGCAGGACUUAGAAGGCAUGGGCAUGGUCAUACCUAGGCGAAUGGGAAUAGCCCGGGCCGCUUCUGGCCAACACAGACUGACAAAACCAUCCCAAGAGCCAAGCUUAAAUUGUGAAAAUUUACGAUAUCAUCAGGUAACAUGUUCCAAGGUCAUUUCUCAUUCGAGCAAUAAGUAGGUUUGGGGGGAGAAUCAGGUGUCUAAUUUCCAAAUUGUCACAGCUGAAACAAUUAGCGGGAACGCAUCCGAAGGACGCACGUUAGGAGUUAGAACUGUCAUGCGCUGGAGGGCCAUUCAUCUUGGAUGUCCAAUUUGCGAGCUUCGGCAACGCGAAAGCGUAGCUCCUUCCGAGGGGUGAUUUUGAGGCCACUCGCAGCGUUUACGUAGUGGAAAAGGAGUUGUUCCAAGUUCCAAAAAUGCUACAGGGGCAACAUUUGGAGUAAACAACAUUGGCAAUUGCUAUACCGACAGACUGGCCGUGCAAGCUCUUGGCAUGGAAAACAGUAACAGUGAAGCCGCAUUAAAAGAUAAAUCCAACCCCCAGAAACAAGAAUAAUAAAGGCCAUAAGCUAUAUUUGGUUGCCCCUGAAAUGAAAUAAUUUUACUAUGAAUUUUGUUUCACUA